rnacentral:rRNA from 1 species
UACACUCCUGCGGGAGGCAGCAGUGGGGAAUUUUGGCCAAUGGGCGAAAGCCUGAUCCAGCAAUGCCGCGUGUGUGAAGAAGGCCUUCGGGUUGUAAAGCACUUUUGUCCGGAAAGAAAUCCUUGGCUCUAAUACAGUCGGGGGAUGACGGUACCGGAAGAAUAAGCACCGGCUAACUACGUGCCAGCAGCCGCGGUAAUACGUAGGGUGCGAGCGUUAAUCGGAAUUACUGGGCGUAAAGCGUGCGCAGGCGGUUUGCUAAGACCGAUGUGAAAUCCCCGGGCUCAACCUGGGAACUGCAUUGGUGACUGGCAGGCUAGAGUAUGGCAGAGGGGGGUAGAAUUCCACGUGUAGCAGUGAAAUGCGUAGAGAUGUGGAGGAAUACCGAUGGCGAAGGCAGCCCCCUGGGCCAAUACUGACGCUCAUGCACGAAAGCGUGGGGAGCAAACAGGAUUAGAAACCCCAGUAGUCC